AAACAUUGCGAGUCAUUGAUUUCAAUGACAUGAAGGUGGAGAGAUAUUCAAUGGUCGUUAUCUUUUGACACAAUGAUACAAUUUCACUGAAACAUUUAAUUAUUUGAAUGGAACGCGCAGUCUCCUCACGCGGUAAAACAGAACCUGCGCAGUCCGUAAACGCAACCGAGCCGACCCCACUAUGGCUUCCCGCAUUUUGGCAAUAAUAAUUUUGCAAACAGGUUCUCUGUACGCCGUUCGCGAUUGCCACAGGCAGUAAACUAACUUGACUACCCUUAAUUUCCAUCAACUGCGCUCGUUACAGUGCACUUCCCCCAAUAUUCCUUUUUCCUUGGAACCAACCUCACUUCACACACCGGCGUAAGAACACCCCUUCAUCCAUCGAUGACAGUCGUUGAUACUAAAAGGCGGUGAAACCCUAAAAAACUGACAUCCUCUUCCGCGUAACUUCUCCGCACGUCAACAAUGACUGACCCAAAUCGACCCAAACAGCCCUUUAGACGCCCGAAACCCAGUGAUGACGAGGCAGAGCUAUACCGCCUCCACGAGGAGUUCCUACAGUCACAACAGUCACCUUCUGCCAGGUGUGUAACUUCACCUUACAGAAACCUCCCCCCCUCCGAGCCCCUAAGAACCAGAUCAAGAUUUGCCGAGCGUCGGGCGAUGCAGGGAAAUUUAAAUGUCUCGACAUCUACAUCAAUAGGGGCUCCUAUCAACACUGUCGAGGAGGAUAUCUCGUCCUCUUCGAUAUUGUUGGGAAACAUAGUUGAGAAGAAAUUCCCGGAUCGUCCUAACGCCACCGGAUGCUCAUCAGAAGCUUCCGGGGGCACAGGCUUUCCGGAGGUCUUCCGAGUGAAUAAAAUCCCGAAGAUCGAAACGGUUAAUAGUCUCUUUCGCCAAAGUAUCGAGCCCUCUACGAAGCCCCCCAUGGGGUCAGCGAGAUUGCCUGAGGAUGAAGAGACAGGGGGUCCCAUCGGGUCCAACCUGUUAACGGAGAUUCACAAGGAGAAUAUGGAGAAACUGAGCCAGAUGACACAACUCCAGAUCCUCCAGGAGAAGAGUCGCCUGGAGGGACUGUUGUCUCCAGAUGUGGUAAAGUUCCUAAAGUCCAGGAAGAACUCUGCGAUUCAAUCAGAAAAAUCACGGACUGUCACGUCUGUCGCAUCGGGAUCCAACGGUGGUGGGCGCUCUGGAAUAAUCCAGGAGGCUGCUCCUAUGGAGACGGACCCUCCGCCUCCGCCACCGGUGGUCUCUAACCUCUUGGAUAAAGCCUCGACGAGCCGCUGGCUCCAUAUGGACACCGUGGAGCCUCAAAAGCUCCAAUGGAUGGAGGACCUAAUGCUCACCGAUUCCUCAGACUCGACUCAGAAUGAGCCCUACAAUGCGAGAUUCUCCUUCGAGGGGACUCUUCUCCCUUUCAAGGACCCGUCCAUCCCGAUGGAUCAGGGCCUCCAUCAUCACGGGGAAGAGCCGGAGCGCCCGGGGUACACUCUCCAGGAGCUCCUACAGUUGACUCGUUCAUCAGUAAAUCAGCAGAGCCGCACUGCACUCACGACAAUCGCCAGCAUUCUGGAGAAGAGCAGAAAAGGAUGGUAUGACGAGGUCCUGGAGCCCGCCCCCUUGGUCGCAUUGAGCGCCAAGAAUAUUUUUCUCCUCCUGAGGUUCUCCCUCGACCACCUGUCGACGUCUGUCUCCACUGCGGCGCUGCAAGGCCUGCGGGAGUUCCUGUACUGUGAAGCUGAUGAGAUCUGCCUGGACAGGCUCGGCAAUUGGAAAUACGGUGACGGAAGCUGUUGUGUGCCUGAUCUAGCCCCGAGUGCGGAUAUCAAGGACUUCAAUAGCUUGAAGGAUCAUGAAUUGGCCCAGAUUGAUUGUGUAUUAGCAGCGGUGAGAACAGACAUCAUUGUCAGGAUGUGUUACAUCCUCAGUAAGACGAGACCGGAGCCCUCGGCGGUGACAGCGAUCUUGGAGAUUCUCACAAGAAUGGCCAGACACUCGAAGACAAUAACUCUCAAAAUUGCCUUCACGCCAGAUCUUUUGUCUACGAUCACGAGCCACUUUCUGCCAAUGAACACUGAUAAAUUGAUGAACCUGGAGAACCUAAGUACAGCUUAUGGUGUUCCUAACAUCAACGCCCUUCGACUACUAAGGGUUCUGACGGAAUACGGUGGAAGACCAGUAGCCGAAUGUCUCUACGCCCUCAAGAUAAUGAAUUCUCUAUUGUCAUACAUAACAAACGAUCCCGGUGAAGCAGGUAUUCGUCUGUCGAUAGAGGCCCUACGACUCUGGGGGAGUCUUCUAUCUCAGGGGGUGUCUUUAGAGGUUAUCAGUAGUGUGAGCUGGAUUCUAGUGUCGCAACUUCAAACUCUCGCCACCAAUCACAAUCUUCAAUCGACUGAACUUUCUUCAGAACAUGCAGCCGCUUUGAUAACAGUCAGCAGUUAUGCACCGAGCCUUGAGCCGUUUUUGGUUACUUUACUAGGGAGGUGGAGCACGCAAUUGGAAAAUUUAUCAUGUCCCACGUGGUGCAGUACGAAAUUAGUGGCAAUUACAUUAACGUGUGUCACAGAACCCUCUUCUUUUAAAUGCGAAUGGAUCAAUAAUCAAAACCUUUUUCAUGGGCUAAUCUUGACGUCGAAUCUUCUCAGUGGACGAACGACAACCCCGAGGACUCCUGAGUGCCUUCCGUCCUUGGAAGCUCUAGUUCAACGAGGGGAAUUGCAAAGUGUCCUCGCCUUCAACUCUUGCACUCCUUUCCUUGCAACUGCUAUUAAUUUUCUCUGCAAAUACUCAAUGACCAAGGAGUUGACGGCCAUCCUGAGUAAUCCAACAGUCGUGAGGUACCUGAAUAGACUCAGUACCACCGACUGGUCUCUAGGAAGCAAUUGGUUUACCAGGGUAGAGCUGUACUUUGUUACGGGACUCAUUAAAGCAAUGUCUCUGGUCGUUCAGAAUGAAUUGUUUCCAUCGAUUCCUCAGACGAUCGCUAUUAAGCUGCUGUCUACGUUACAUGGAGAUGCCCCAGAAGCUGCCAUUGACCUCCUGAAAUGGCUAACAUCCAAGGAAAAAUUGGACAUAGCUGAUUUGGUGAGGGAGUUGAACACUUUGAAGUUGGGAGGACAUCGUAAACAUAUUUUGCCAUUGAAUCUGGAUGUUUCAUCGAUGUACGAGGCGUUCGUCCAGCCCGGAACUUGGAACCAGACUGUUCUUCCUAGGGACUGGCCCUACCUGCCGCUCGUAGCGUCCUACACGCGUCUUAAGGGAGGCAGCAAGGGGAACGUCAUGGACACCCUGAGGAUCGUUACCCUGUUGAAGUUGGAGUCAACGAUGCCGGAGCUCUUCCACGACCUCUCUCCGACCUUGAGAUUCUCCCGGCUGAUUCUAAUUUACUUCUGCGAUGGAGCUCACCUUGAUAGACAGGUCUCGGAGAUUUUAAAGUCAUUUAUUUGGGAUUUUUUGAAGAAAUUUCAUAAGCUUCUGGACUUUUCCAAUGACAUUCCUGGGGUUCCAUCCUUCACAGACUUGUUCACAGCUUUGUGUGAGGGCUUUUGCGCGAAUUCUCAUGGAGAUGACGGAUUCGCCGCCUCAUUGCUGGCACCCGUUGCUCAGAGACACGAUAAGUAUUACAGGAAAAUUCUGUGGUCUGAACAUGCAGCGGCUCUGAGGUACAUUAAACUGACACCGGCGAUGCUUCCGGUUCCUGUUGAGGAGUAUUUGGAACCCGCUGAGGAGGAUGAGAGCCUCAUUGAGGAGUAUCUGACAGCUCUCGUCAGGAGAACGGUGAGGGAAGAGUGGAGUCCGUUGAUGUACAUGAUUGCGGUCCAUCAUUGUAGGAGGUUCCUCAAAGGGGAGGGAGACUUGAAGAGGAGGAUGAGGGAGAGGAUGCGAAAGUUGGAAGAUAAGGAACUCGUGAAGAUACUCCUGGAAGAGGUGGACGCGUGAUGGGGUAGUCUGCAGGGGUCUUCAUGGAGGAUUUUGGAAGGGGGAAAGGGAAGUUUAUCGAGAUGUAAAGAAGAAUCUGAAAGGCUCCAGUGAGCCCCCUCCCGUCGCCGCUAUCCUAACAGACACUCAACAGACACCGCGGCGGCAGCAUCGGCCUCGAACUUCCCUCGAUCGUCUCCAGUGCUCCACAACAGGUGGCUCCACAUCCCAGGCAGGUGAAUCAGUCGUGAAUCCGACACGAGCGCGUUGUGUCCUGUUCUCUUAUUGUCGACCCGUUCCCACGGGUCCUUUAUCUCCAAAAAAAUCCCUCACAAUUGCAUAACAACAGCAAAACGUUGUCCACCCCCUGCGUACAACCCCCAGCUCCGCGGUGAGUGCAUCGAGAGCCAGAAUAGUGCGAAUAAAUUCGAGAAAUCGCUGAUUUAAUCGGCGUUGAUUUUCCGGAGGAAUAAAAAACGUUUUCCCUGCACUUUCACGAUCCCCUGGGGUGAGUUCGGGAUGCUGCUGCGCAUGGAACAGAACAGCUGUUCCUUUGGUUGCGAUAAAUAAGUGGGGGUGAGGGAGGGGGAUGGUGGCCGUGGUUUCAACAAGUUGAGGGAUAAAAUUAAUGUCAAUCAAUUGAAUAAAAAAAUCCAGGAUUCAUUUAAUCCAAUGGUGAAUUAAAUUACUUUGGGGGAUUCAUUCGGCGCUGAUUGAUUGCUCUGGUGUGAUAAUUCGUGACAAUAGAGGCGAGUGGAAUAUUUAUUGAUGAAAGAGAACAACUGCGGGAUAAUGCCACCCUCAUCACACUCCAACUGGACGAGACCCCUCCUCAAGGGUGGACAAAUGAUGCAGAUGCAGGUGAAACGUGCGACUGGUAGUGUGAGACAGAAUGGCCAGGAACUGGACAGGAGAAUCAAGGUGGUGCUUGUGGGUGAUGGAGCUGUUGGCAAGACAAGUCUCGUUGUUUCGUACUCGACGAAUGGAUUUCCUGGGGAGUAUGUGCCCACUGCCUUUGAUA